rnacentral:rRNA from 1 species
CAUGCAAGUCGAGGGGCAGCAUUUCAGUUUGCUUGCAAACUGGAGAUGGCGACCGGCGCACGGGUGAGUAACACGNUAUCCAACCUGCCGAUAACUCGGGGAUAGCCUUUCGAAAGAAAGAUUAAUACCCGAUGGUAUAAUCAGACCGCAUGGUCUUAUUAUUAAAGAAUUUCGGUUAUCGAUGGGGAUGCGUUCCAUUAGGCAGUUGGUGAGGUAACGGCUCACCAAACCUUCGAUGGAUAGGGGUUCUGAGAGGAAGGUCCCCCACAUUGGAACUGAGACACGGUCCAAACUCNUACGGGAGGCAGCAGUGAGGAAUAUUGGUCAAUGGGCGCAGGCCUGAACCAGCCAAGUAGCGUGAAGGAUGACUGCCCUAUGGGUUGUAAACUUCUUUUAUAUGGGAAUAAAGUUUUCCACGUGUGGAAUUUUGUAUGUACCAUAUGAAUAAGGAUCGGCUAACUCCGUGCCAGCAGCCGCGGUAAUACGGAGGAUCCGAGCGUUAUCCGGAUUUAUUGGGUUUAAAGGGAGCGUAGGUGGACAGUUAAGUCAGUUGUGAAAGUUUGCGGCUCAACCGUAAAAUUGCAGUUGAUACUGGCUGUCUUGAGUACAGUAGAGGUGGGCGGAAUUCGUGGUGUAGCGGUGAAAUGCUUAGAUAUCACGAAGAACUCCGAUUGCGAAGGCAGCUCACUGGACUGCAACUGACACUGAUGCUCGAAAGUGUGGGUAUCAAACAGGAUUAGAUACCCUGGUAGUCCACACAGUAAACGAUGAAUACUCGCUGUUUGCGAUAUACAGUAAGCGGCCAAGCGAAAGCAUUAAGUAUUCCACCUGGGGAGUACCCCGGCAACGGUGAAACUCAAAGGAAUUGACGGGGGCCCGCACAAGCGGAGGAACAUGUGGUUUAAUUCGAUGAUACGCGAGGAACCUUACCCGGGCUUAAAUUGCAUUUGAAUAAUNUGGAAACAGNUUAGCCGNAAGGCAAAUGUGAAGGUGCUGCAUGGUUGUCGUCAGCUCGUGCCGUGAGGUGUCGGCUUAAGUGCCAUAACGAGCGCAACCCUUAUCUUUAGUUACUAACAGGUCAUGCUGAGGACUCUAGAGAGACUGCCGUCGUAAGAUGUGAGGAAGGUGGGGAUGACGUCAAAUCAGCACGGCCCUUACGUCCGGGGCUACACACGUGUUACAAUGGGGGGUACAGAAGGCAGCUACCUGGUGACAGGAUGCUAAUCCCAAAAGCCUCUCUCAGUUCGGAUCGAAGUCUGCAACCCGACUUCGUGAAGCUGGAUUCGCUAGUAAUCGCGCAUCAGCCAUGGCGCGGUGAAUACGUUCCCGGGCCUUGUACACNCCGCCCGUCAAGCCAUGAAAGCCGGGGGUACCUGAAGUACGUACCGCA